CUUGAACUUUAUAAGAGGUCCAGCCUGCCCAGUGACUCUGUUCAACGGCCGCGGUAUCCUAACCGUGCGAAGGUAGCGUAAUCACUUGUUCUUUAAAUGUGGACUAGUAUGAAUGGCACCACGAGGGUUAUACUGUCUCCUUUUUCUAAUCAGUGAAACUAAUUUUCCCGUGAAGAAGCGGGAAUAAAAAUAUAAGACGAGAAGACCCUAUGGAGCUUUAAACAACUCAGCAAUUACUUCUAAAAUUUUAAAUUUCAGAAUAUUCAUUUUCUAAGUAAUAUGUCUGCAAGUUUUUGGUUGGGGUGACCAUGGAGAAUAACACAACCUCCAUAUUGAAUGAAUUCCCUUCUAAGCUGAAAAUUACUUAUUGAAGCAUCAACACACUGACAUCUAUUGACCCA
rnacentral:rRNA from 1 species